rnacentral:rRNA from 1 species
AGUGAACGCUGGCGGUAGGCCUAACGCAUGCAAGUCGAACGGCAGCACAGUAAGAGCUUGCUCUUACGGGUGGCGAGUGGCGGACGGGUGAGGAAUACAUCGGAAUCUACUUUUUCGUGGGGGAUAACGUAGGGAAACUUACGCUAAUACCGCAUACGACCUACGGGUGAAAGCAGGGGAUCUUCGGACCUUGCGCGAUUGAAUGAGCCGAUGUCGGAUUAGCUAGUUGGCGGGGUAAAGGCCCACCAAGGCGACGAUCCGUAGCUGGUCUGAGAGGAUGAUCAGCCAGACUGGAACUGAGACACGGUCCAGACACCUACGGGAGGAAGCAGUGGGGAAUAUUGGACAAUGGGCGCAAGCCUGAUCCAGCCAUACCGCGUGGGUGAAGAAGGCCUUCGGGUUGUAAAGCCCUUUUGUUGGGAAAGAAAAGCAGCAGGUUAAUACCCCGCUGUUCUGACGGUACCCAAAGAAUAAGCACCGGCUAACUUCGUG